rnacentral:misc_RNA from 1 species
UAGCAGGAGGAACAAACAC